rnacentral:sRNA from 1 species
UUUUGGGGUGCCCUUAACAACUGUCGUGACUCCAGAGAAGCCGAUCCCCAUUUUUAUUGAAAGAUGUAUUGAGUACAUUGAAGCCACAGGACUGAGCACGGAAGGCAUCUAUCGGGUCAGCGGGAACAAGUCUGAGAUGGAGAGUCUGCAGAGACAGUUUGAUCAAGGUAAAGUGCAGCCUGGCCAGGCAUCCGAGGCCAGAGCUGGUCAAGGCAGACACAGCUGCCUCGGUGAACUGUCUGGGGCUUCGGGGCACUCCUGCCAGCACAGACUCAAAGCCACGAGGUGCUGAGACUGAGAAAGAGACCAUGUGUGGCUGCAGCGGGGAGGAGGGGACCGGGUCCUGUCAGUGAACCGAAGCACCAUCCCUGCCAAAGCUGGGUCAUAUAGGCCACUCCCCACACUGCCACUCACAGAUGCUCUUCCAGGUUGCCCGGGCACAUGCCUCCCUCACCACACUGGAGUUUUGCCUGUUUGCCCAUGCAGAGCUAGUUGCAGGCACAUGAUAUACAAAUCAGGUUGAGAUGUGAUCCUGUUUUGCCAGGGCCUCAGAUCUACCCUCCUCACAAAGUCCCAGCACCAGAGAAAGUGAGGGACCAUCGUGUGAGGAGCUGAGCCCUUGGGACAGAGACCCAAGUUACAUAGCUCUUGGCAGGGACUCCCUUCUCCUAAGCUGAGCCAGCUUCAAGAGGCCUAAAGUCAGGCAGCCAAACUACCUCUUGGAAUUGCCCACACUGUGGGAUGAGAAGCCACGUCCCCCAGUGCCAGAAGCAAAAGCACCAGAGCAGGGCACAUUCCCAUCUAUCAGCAGACAGGGCAGGAGGCACCACCCAGAGUGGACACCACACCCACUCCCCAGGUGGGCGGCCCUUGCGCCUUGCAGCACCGCAGUCGGGCUCAGCUGGCCGGCAGCAGGCAGAGGGGACCGCAGGACAGGGAAACGCCUGCUAAUCUGUGGGAGACACGAGGCCAAAGUGAGGGUAGAGCCCCCAGUGUGGGAUGCAUUUGUAUAUAUGGGAGAUCCUGUACCAGCUUACCUCCCCCACAGUGGAACCUGGUACUGUCCAUCUGUAGAGAUUUGUUCGUCAUCAGGAACGCACUGAAGUAUGUAUGCAAUGAGAAGGAAAGCAAGACAUGGGUCAGCGGUGCCAGUGGCUGGGAAGGGCCAGAGAGAGAAAAAAUGAGCCUAUUUGCCCUCCCACCAUAGGGGACAAGGAUGGAGGCAGCAGUCACAGUGGUUGCUAACAUCUUUGUGACCUACCUGGAAAGCGAGCCACCCUUUAGGAAAGCCGCCUCCUUCUUCUGUGAUGGGAAAGGAGUAAGGAAGAGGCAACAGCAUAUCAAAGCCAGAUGAGGGCAAGCUCCUGGCACCAAAAACCAGCAUGUGGGGGUAGCACCCCUGCCCCGAGAGUGGUAGAAGGGGCAGUUCAGCAGUCUCAGAAAGAGGUGCUGGGGCCAGCCCAUGCCUGAACCUCAGAACUCGCGUUAGCGCUCACAAGUCCCACCCCUCCAAUCCUUGCCAGUCCUGAGGCCGUCUCUGGCUCCUUGAGGUUUCUCUAGCCUCUCCUGAGCCCCGAGUUGUCCUGAUGCUUCUGCCUGGCUUAGAAUGGUUUGGCCUCACUCUCCUGACUUCCUUUCAGACCACAACCUGGACCUGGCAGAGAAAGACUUUACGGUGAAUACCGUGGCUGGUGCCAUGAAGAGCUUUUUCUCAGAACUGCCUGACCCCCUGGUCCCGUAUAACAUGCAGAUCGACUUGGUGGAAGCACACAAAAUCAACGACCGGGAGCAGAAGUUGCAUGCCCUUAAGGAGGUAUUAAAGAAAUUUCCAAAGGAAAACCACGAAGUCUUCAAGUAUGUCAUCUCUCACCUAAACAAGGUCAGCCACAACAACAAGGUGAAUCUCAUGACCAGCGAGAACCUCUCCAUCUGCUUCUGGCCCACCUUGAUGAGACCUGAUUUCAGCACUAUGGACGCCCUCACAGCCACGCGCACCUACCAGACAAUCAUUGAACUCUUUAUCCAGCAGUGCCCCUUCUUCUUCUACAAUCGGCCCAUCACCGAGCCCCCCGGCGCCAGGCCCAGCUCCCCCUCCGCCGUGGCUUCCACCGUCCCCUUCCUCACUUCCACGCCUGUCACAAGUCAGCCGUCGCCCCCACAGUCGCCUCCACCCACCCCCCAGUCCCCAAUGCAGCCACUGCUUCCCUCCCAGCUUCAAGCCGAACACACGCUGUGAGCCACCAAGACCUGGGGCGACAGGAGAACCGGUCCUCUCUCUGACGGGGUGGCAUUUGGCCUUGAACAAAACCAAGUCCACUGGGGACAGAGGCAGGGGCAAGUGGCUCUCCCCAUUACCUUCUCAAGACCUCAGUGAGAGCACCAGCCAAUGGUACCAUCGGCCGGGCUGCCAGGUACCCUGGGCCCGGCGCUGCAGACCUGAGCUGGCUGCAGGCAGCAGCCAUGGGGCCCUGUCCUUUGACUUGGACCCAUUUGAGGACUGAACUAGGCAGGCAAUGGCCCCAGUGCCCUCCCUCUGUUCCCUGGACCACCACCCCACCUAGCUGCUCACACCAGCCUCCGGGUGCCUCCCUCUGCUUGUACAGAGCCCAUGGUCGGGACAGUGCCCUGGCCUUUGCCGGGGAGGAGGAUGCUCUGAGAUUCAGGGCGGGGCUGGCAACUCCUGAAGAGAACACUUCCUGUUGGUCUGUCUCUUCCCACCUUCCAUCUGCACACACCCCCAAGGUAAGGGUACAGCCCGGCUGGCGGCCUCCUUGGGAACGUGUAGGCCACGGCUCUGCCACCACUAGGUACCUGCUGAGGGCGCUGGCUCUGCAGAUCAGAACAACGGAGGAUAGCUUUGUGCCUGGACCCAGAGAGUGUGGGACUCCCCGCUUCAUCCCCACCGUCCCACUCCACAGCCUUCCCGAAACAUUCCCUGGCAAACAAAGGAACACUAGGAGAAAAAAUGGAAAAACCCUUCCAGUAAUUAAAAAGGAAGAAACCACAG